rnacentral:rRNA from 1 species
UGAUCAUGGCUCAGAAUGAACGCUGGCGGCAGGCCUAACACAUGCAAGUUCGAACGCAUCCUUCGGGGUGAGUGGCGGACGGGUGAGUAACACGUGGGAACGUACCCUUUGCUACGGAAUAGUCUCGGGAAACUGGGGGUAAUACCGUAUGUGCCCUACGGGGGAAAGAUUUAUCGGCAAAGGAUCGGCCCGCGUUGGAUUAGGUAGUUGGUGGGGUAAUGCCUACCAAGCCGACGAUCCAUAGCUGGUUUGAGAGGAUGACCAGCCACACUGGGACUGAGACACGGCCCAGACUCCUACGGGAGGCAGCAGUGGGGAAUCUUAGACAAUGGGGGAAACCCUGAUCUAGCCAUGCCGCGUGAGUGAUGAAGGCCUUAGGGUUGUAAAGCUCUUUCGCUGGGGAAGAUAAUGACGGUACCCAGUAAAGAAGCCCCGGCUAACUCCGUGCCAGCAGCCGCGGUAAUACGGAGGGGGCUAGCGUUAUUCGGAAUUACUGGGCGUAAAGCGCACGUAGGCGGACCAGAAAGUUAGGGGUGAAAUCCCGGGGCUCAACCUCGGAACUGCCUCU